UGCUUCUGAUUGAUAACAUUUGAGUGAGUGGCGGACGGGUGAGUAACACGUGGGUAACCUGCCCUAAAGUGGGGGAUAACAUUUGGAAACAGAUGCUAAUACCGCAUAAAACCUAGCACCGCAUGGUGCAAGGUUGAAAGAUGGUUUCGGCUAUCACUUUAGGAUGGACCCGCGGUGCAUUAGUUAGUUGGUGAGGUAAAGGCUCACCAAGACCGUGAUGCAUAGCCGACCUGAGAGGGUAAUCGGCCACACUGGGACUGAGACACGGCCCAGACUCCUACGGGAGGCAGCAGUAGGGAAUCUUCCACAAUGGACGAAAGUCUGAUGGAGCAACGCCGCGUGAGUGAAGAAGGUUUUCGGAUCGUAAAACUCUGUUGUUGGAGAAGAACGUAUUUGAUAGUAACUGAUCAGGUAGUGACGGUAUCCAACCAGAAAGCCACGGCUAACUACGUGCCAGCAGCCGCGGUAAUACGUAGGUGGCAAGCGUUGUCCGGAUUUAUUGGGCGUAAAGCGAGCGCA
rnacentral:rRNA from 1 species